GACCUGUUAGCUCAGUUGGUUAGAGCGCCGUGCUAAGAACACGAUGUCGAGGGUUCGAUCCCCUUACGGGCCA